rnacentral:rRNA from 1 species
UACGUAGGGUGCAAGCGUUGUCCGGAAUUAUUGGGCGUAAAGGGCGCGUAGGCGGCGGGGUAAGUCGGGUGUGAAAUCUCAGAGCUCAACUCUGAAACUGCACUCGAUACUGCUCUGCUUGAGGACUGGAGAGGAGACUGGAAUUCACGGUGUAGCAGUGAAAUGCGUAGAUAUCGUGAGGAAGACCAGUGGCGAAGGCGGGUCUCUGGACAGUUCCUGACGCUGAGGCGCGAAGGCCAGGGGAGCAAACGGG